rnacentral:rRNA from 1 species
GACGAACGCUGGCGGCGUGCUUAACACAUGCAAGUCGAACGGUGAAGCGCCUUCCUUUUUGGUGGGUGUGGAUGAGUGGCGAACGGGUGAGUAACACGUGAGUAACCUGCCCCCUUCUUCUGGAUAACCGCAUGAAAGUGUGGCUAAUACGGGAUAUUCUGGGUCUGUCGCAUGAUGGGUCUGGGAAAGAUAUUGUUUCGGUGGGGGAUGGGCUCGCGGCCUAUCAGCUUGUUGGUGGGGUGAUGGCCUACGAAGGCGGGGGCGGGUGGCCGGCCUGGGAGGGUGGACGGUCUGACUGGGUCGGAGGCACGGGCGGGACUGCGACGGGGGGCAGCAGUGGGGGGUAGGGCACAGUGGGGGCUAGUGUGAUGCGGCGGGGCGGCGGGGGGGAUGGAGGCCGGCGGGUGGUGAAGGGCUUUGGGGAGUGAAGCAGGCCUGCCUCGUGUGGGGGUGGGUUGACGGUAGCUGGAGAAGAAGCGCCGGCUAACUACGUG